rnacentral:rRNA from 1 species
GACGAACGCUGGCGGCGUGCCUUACACAUGCAAGUCGAACGGAGUGGCGAACGGGUGAGUAAUGUAUCGGAACGUGCCCAGUAGUGGGGGAUAACUACGCGGAAGCGUAGCUAAUACCGCAUACUAUUGGAGCGGCCGAUAUCGGCUUAGCUAGUUGGUGGGGUAACGGCUUACCAAGGCGACGAUGCGUAGCUGGUCUGAGAGGACGAUCGGCCACACUGGGACUGAGACACGGCCCAGACUCCUACGGGAGGCAGCAGUGGGGAAUUUUGGACAAUGGGGGAAAGUCUGAUCCAGCAAUCCCGCGUGUGCGAUGAAGGCCUUCGGGUUGUAAAGCACUUUUGGCAGGGAAGCGGUACCUGCAGAGUAAGCACCGGCUAACUACGUGCCAGCAGCCGCGGUAAUAC